AUUGAACGCUGGCGGCAUGCCUUACACAUGCAAGUCGAACGGUAACAGGUCUUCGGAUGCUGACGAGUGGCGAACGGGUGAGUAAUACAUCGGAACGUGCCCAGACGUGGGGGAUAACGAGGCGAAAGCUUUGCUAAUACCGCAUACGAUCUAAGGAUGAAAGCCGGGGACCGCAAGGCCUUGCGCGUUUGGAGCGGCCGAUGGCAGAUUAGGUAGUUGGUGGGAUAAAAGCUUACCAAGCCGACGAUCUGUAGCUGGUCUGAGAGGACGACCCGCCACACUGGGACUGAGACACGGCCCAGACUCCUACGGGAGGCAGCAGUGGGGAAUUUUGGACAAUGGGCGAAAGCCUGAUCCAGCAAUGCCGCGUGCAGGAUGAAGGCCUUCGGGUUGUAAACUGCUUUUGUACGGAACGAAAAGGCUCUGGCUAAUACCUGGGGCACAUGACGGUACCGGAAGAAUAAGCACCGGCUAACUACGUG
rnacentral:rRNA from 1 species